GAGAAGAAGCAUUCAAAAAUUCAGCAAGAAAUUUCAAAAUCGACAAACAAAAAUAUGAUAAAAAAAAGAGGAGAACACGAAUUUAAAAUUGGUGAUAUGGUCUUCACCCACAACGGAAACAAAAUGAAUAGAAAUAAGCUGGAAGAAAUUAGGAAAGGACCCUUCAAAAUUCCAAGAAGGAUUUCAAACUCCAUAUAUGAAGUGGAUAACGGUAAUCCGAGGUCUGAAGGGAAUCUCUUCCACUCGAGGGUGGCACGACAGACUGUGUUUCACGGACAGACUGAUCUUCUUUUGUUUUACGGACGACCUUUUUAAGAACCACGUGUUCCCUAAACGGAGGGACAGAGAGUUACAUUAGAGACAGACAAG
rnacentral:misc_RNA from 1 species